GAACAAUCUAAGAGGCAGUUGGGGAGGCAGCUCUGAGGGGGGAGGACAGUUGGAAGAAUGAGAAAGCUUUCCGAGAGGGAUGCUCAAGGGGGAAAGUUUCCGAUCCUAGAGGACCAGAUGAACCAUAGUGCUGUGAGCCAAAACAGGGAAGCUGGGAGAGGAUGGAGGCUUGAGAGAUAGUGCUCGACAAAUGCUGCCAUUAAUUAGAGGGCAAGAAGAGAAUGAAGGAGCAACUCCAGGGGCUGCAGAGGAAAUCAAGGCGGUGCAGUCACUGGAGCCCUGGGACGAACAGGUUUUCAGAAGUAGAAUGGAGUCAUCAUGAUAUCAAGCAGCAGUGAGAGGACAGGGGAGCGUGCUUUGAGAUGACAAGGAGCUGGCCGAGACCGGAGGCUUCCCGCCCCGAGCCGGAGCCAGGAGUCCCCCAGAGGCGCAGCUGAGGAUGCCCGCACCUGCGGAGAGUCGGGACAGGAGCCCUCUUCCCCAGACGGGCGGCCCACGCACGGAGCUGCCUCCGCUCCAAGCCCGGUGGCCGCGGCCACGUCCACGCAUCCGCUCGGAGAGCCGUUGCCCCGGGGAGGGCAGCGUGAGAGGGCUGGCCACGCAUCUCUGCUGACUUCAUCUCCCAGCGAGGGGAGGACGGCGGCGGCGGAGUGCAAGCCCGAUGGAAAGCCAGACUGGACUCCGAAUGCCCCCACCGGCUGGGGGCCCUCUGCACGCUUCGCGGUGGUCUUCGGACCCGGAGCGCCCGGCCAGGCCUGCAGUUCUGCCACUGCUGGCUGUGCCACCUGGAAAAGUUAUCUAAACCUCUCUGUACCCCAGUCUCCUUCUUCGUCACCUGGUGAUCAUAACUGUCCUGACCUCAUUGGAUGGCUAUGAGGUUUAAACGAGUGAAGCGGCCCAAGUUCUCCCAGCAGACUGUGGACUCUGAACGGAAACAAAGGACAGGCAUAAGGAGCACCCUGAGCCAGGCUUCUGGGCAGUUUCCGGGCCCCCAUCUCUUCAGCGUCUCCCCUGCCCCUGCCAUGGGACCAGUGUGUACAGGUCAGCUCCUGGGCUGUGGCAGACAGACUUGUCCCCGUGGGAUGUCUGCCGGGUUGGAAGACUGACACCCCCGAAGGAGGAGGCUCAUCCCAGAGGGUGGCACUUUCUCUGAAAGGUGAGUAGGACUCCCCAAAUUUGGAACCAGCUGAGGCCCUGUGAGGCCUGGGGCAGCCACAGAACGCCGGCUGGAAGUGGAGGAAGCAUCUGGCACAUCGACUCUAGCACCCACAGUAAAUAUUAUUCCCACGGCUGCCAUUCCAUGAUAACUAUGUGCCAGGCACUGUGCUAAGUGUGUGUGCAACUAAGAUUACCUGAGUCCUCUCAGAACACUCUGAGGAAGACACAUGCUGACCCACAUCUCAUACUGUGACAGGAACACAAAUAUUAACGAGUAGGGGGGCUGUGUUUUUGCCUGUGUAUUAGCUUCCUGUUGCUGCUGUAACCAAUUUCCACAAACAUUGUGGCUUAAAACAACACAAAUCUAUUGUCUUGCAGCUCUGAGGAUCAGAAGUCCAAAAUGGGCUAAAAUCAAGGUAUCGGUAGGCCCGUGGCACUUCUGCAGGCGCUGAGGGAGAGUCUGUUUUCCUGCUUUUCUGAGUUUCUAGAUGCUUCCUGCUUCCAUCUGCAAAGCCAGCAGUGGCUGGCUGACUCUUACAUCUUGUCGCUCUGACUCUGAUUUCUGCCUCCCUCUUUCACGUCUAAGGACCCUUGUGAUUACUUUGGGUGCACGUGGAUAGUCUCCGUAAGGUCAGCUGAUUAGCAACCUUAAUUCUUCUACAACCCUACGGCCCCUUUGCCAGGUGGGGUAAUGUGUUCACUACAUCUGGUGCCUAGGGCUCAGAUAUCUUAGGGGGGCCAUUAUUCUGGGGGGUUGAGGGGUACUAGGUGAG
rnacentral:lncRNA from 1 species